AGGAUGGAGAGAUGAACAUACAGUUAGAGGACACAUUGACUCUGCUACAAGGCCCUUCUUCUUGUGGGAAAACUUCUCUUCUCUUCAACCAUGCUGUGCAAGAAUUAGUCUCGAAGAGAAGUAAGAAAGUUUGUUUUGUUUGCCCGAAAAAGUUGGAACGGAUGCCAGCAACUCACCUCGAUCUCCCAGAGGAUCCGGUCCUGCUGAAAAACCUUUCUUUUCACUACAUCGCCAGCAGGAAAGAACUUAGAGAAUUCAUCGUGGAACAGUUACCGACACAACGUCCCGACCUCGUUCUAAUAGACAGUCUUCAGCACUACUUCAGUGAUCUGCCGGACAUUUAUCAGACGAUAAUGAUACUGAAGAACUCUCUCAACUAUUUACAUCAGAGAUACGGUGUGGAGUGUAGGGUAGUGUUUGCAACAUCAAAUGCUUCUCUCGCUGGGUUAAAUCAGAACUGUGUGAGCGAUCUGAUACCCGGUCGAGUUCUUAUCUCCCCAACAGUUAAAUCUGGGACAACUUGUUUCUCUGUUCAAGGACUUGAAUUUGAAAUAUUUGAGGAUAAUGGAGGGUCGCAUAGAAUUAAACUUCACUCAUAGUGGUCCCUUACCUGUUAAAUGUCUUUUCAGUCCUCUUAAUAUCACUUAAUUAGCAAGUUUUAUAAUUGUAUGUGAAAUGAUUGCUCUCGUUUGUGGAAGAGGAGAGAUAACAGUGAUGUUAAUUUAUUGUUUUUUACUUAAGAUACAAUAUUUUAAUCGCUAGAUAAACUGCUGUUUACAAUGCAUUGACAUCUGACUGUAUUCAAGUAUCCAAUGUUUCUGGUGUUAUUCCGUGUUUUUUGCCCUUUUAUUGAAAUAAUUUAAUUGGACCAGUAACUUAUUAAUUUUGUAAAUUCCUUUUAACAUUGAUAUAAAUUUUGUUUGCAUUCAAUAAAAUACUGUUGAUUAAUUGAAUGGUUUCAUUAC